rnacentral:lncRNA from 1 species
CCUCUCCCUCCCCUCCCCGGGGUCCCAGCCCCAUUCCCUAGCCACUCCGGUACCCAGCCUGCCCCUACGUCAGCCAGAUAGACCUUUCCAGAACACGGCCGACCACUUCCUCCCCUCCCCGCCAGGCCUGGCUCCAGGCCCCUGGGGCGUGCGUCAUCCCAGCCCUGAUGGCUGGCUCUCCGCAGCGGAGCUUAGCUGUGUGGACCUCGUCUCCAGCCCGGACAGCCCUGUCCUUCCUGUCUGCUACUCCCGCUGCCUGGAACCCGGGGCAUCUUCUUCACCUUGCCUACCUCGGCUCUCGGUCGCCUCCGGGGAGCCUUCCUGACCCCCAGUCUGGCAGAAACCACGUGUGCUCCCUGCUGAAGGAGUCACGGCCCACAGCCCAGAGAGGCCGAGCUGCUUGGCCAGGGUUGACCAGCACUGAGUGGAAGGCUGCUCCUGGCCCUGAGCCCACCUCCCUCCUCACAGUGACCCCACUCCCAGGGCCACAGCUGCAGGACGUCACCCCGACCGCCCGCCUGAUAGGCUCCGAGUGCUCUGCGGUCUCGUGGAACAUCUGGGCCCCCCAGUCCUGGCCCGCAGAGCCUGCCCAGCUGCGCCUCUGAGCCACACCCAGAGGCCUCCCGGCUCUGCCAGGGAGACUGGAAAUUUCUGCUCAGCAGCCCGGUUGGGGUGGAUUUCGACACCACUCAGCGGGGGAUGGGGGAGCGGGUGGGCCGCCAGACAGGCUCUGCAUUCCUGAGGCUCCGAUUCCGGGCACUGGGAGGGGUCUUCACUAGGCCUAUGUGAGUCCCUCAGAAAUAACAGUAACAAAGCCCCCACAGUGGUCCCCCAGGCACCCUGGGAGGCUGAGGCAGGAGGGUUGCAAGUUCUGCCCCAGCACAGUCAAUUCAGCCACUUAGCAAGACCCUGUCUCAAAAUAAAAACUAAUAAUUUUUAAAGAGGCUCUGGGUUCAGUCUUCAGUAUGGCAAAACCAAACAUGGUAACAAAACAGCCUGAAGAACCUUCCAGUGUCCAGGGAACUCAGCCCUAUCACCAGGCCACAGUGUGCAUGACACCCACAGAUCCAGCUAUGUGUUGGGGAGCAGGCUGGGCUGGAAGGGAGGCAGCGCUGGGGUGGGGGCCCAAAGAAAACAGAGGUUCAGCCCUGGGCGGCUUGGCCAGCACUUUGGGCAGCAGAGGGGGAGGCGGCCCUCCCGGGAUACCGGGGACCCCAAGGACUGGGGUAGGACCCUCUCCCCGACCUCUCCCUGACCCCGGGGCUGGGGGCGCCCGGCCAGAUUCAGCCAGGACUAAGCGCCCCAUUAUGCACCCAGGGCCAAACGCAAAGAGGAGCGACGGGACCCCAGGCCCGGGCGGGCGAG